rnacentral:tRNA from 1 species
GCCCGUUUGGCUUAGCGGUAAAGCGCAUCACUAGUACUUGCAAAUAAUGCAUUUCACACCAAAUGAUGAGAUCCUAGGUUCGAUUCCUAGAAUGGGCA